AAGUAAUGAGGAUGAAUUGGACACCUGAAGUUCAAGAAAAAAUGCUUAUGAUACCAAUGAGAAAUAAUAUUUUCAUGUUUCACCAUAUAUGAUAGUCCACUUAUCCUGCAUCACACACACACACGCACACGCACAAAUGCGCACGUAUAAACCGAGUGGAUGGAUAAACUUUGUAGCAGAAUUGAGAGUGUGUUUCGGUCCGAGCAGAAUCAAAGUUGUGCAAACGGGGGUACUACCAUGAAGUGACUCGGUAACCUGCAGCUUCAUGCUCCUGCGCAUGAUCCAUCACAUGUUCUGCUGCCCGUUAUUGUUGACUCGGUUCCAAAGAUCCCCCAUACAUUGACCCAUUUGUGCUGAGCUGUCCGUUUACUAUACUUUCACAUCUGUGGGAAAAGCACGCGUGUAUGGGAUGAAGCGCUCGGGCUUUAUUCCGCUCUAUGUGGCGACUUCUUCGCCAGUCGAAUACCGCUGUAGUCAAUCUACCCUUCGGAUGCGGACGGUGAGAGAAACACACAAGGCUAGAAAAGGGACUUCGACGCAAAAACCGAGAACGGGAGAGCGUUUUAAGUCGUGUGAUGGUUCCUCAUACCUGAGAGAAGGAACUAUGAUCAAACGAGUGGCGUGUUAUUGCGAAUAGAAAACAUCGCCUUUAUUGGAUAGACAGAAGACGCAGGCGCUCGUGCUGCUCCAAGAUGCUCCCUUCAUUGACUUCUUUCAUUUUUAUCGCUUAAAAGAGGCGAAAUCUCUACGCAUCCAUCAUAAAAGCCGCUAAAUCGCUUUCUGUCUAUGUAAAAAAAAAAAAAAACAUAUGGUGUCCCUGUCAUCCAUUUUCAUCCCUGUGUGUGAGAGAGAAGGAAGGCAGACUGCUCGAUGCAAGGCGGACUUAUUCCAGCGCGCGCUGUGUAAUGGAUGGAUGGAGAUUGUGCAUGAAAAGGAGGGUGCAUUUGCGUUUUUUUUUUCAUGACAUCACCGCAGAAACAUUGUCGUGGUCCGAGGCCUUUGACCUCACCGGGGUUGGUCCAGAUUUUAGCCACCCCCAGCCCCCCUAUCGUUUGGGGAUGGCCCUUAUUUCCCCCCCACUCUUUUUUUUCCAGACCGAGCGACCAUGCAACCUGCAGAACGGACCCUUUGGCUCAGAGUCACCGGCUUCUGGAUGUGGAAGGACAACCUGACACUCUCUGGGCUCAAAAAACAAGCUCCUGUCUUUAUAAUCCGACACAUUUGCGUCCUAAUUCCCUGUGCCGUUAUUGCACUUUCCACAGGAAACCGGAUUUCCCCCCUCUCUCCGCCGUGUUUCUUCUCCGCCGGCCUCACAGGAUAUCUAUUGCUGCUGC